rnacentral:siRNA from 1 species
UGUGGCCACCCAAAGCAGAAGGA